rnacentral:rRNA from 1 species
GACGUAGGAGGCGAGCGUUGUCCGGAUUCAUUGGGCGUAAAGAGCGCGCAGGCGGCUUGGUAAGUCGGAUGUGAAAUCCCCGGGCUCAACCCGGGAACUGCGUCCGAUACUGGCGGGCUUGAAUCCGGGAGAGGGAUGCGGAAUUCCAGGUGUAGCGGUGAAAUGCGUAGAGAUGUGGAGGAACACCUGUGGCGAAGGCGCCUUGCUGGCCGAUUUCUGACGCUGAGGCGCGAAAGCGUGGGGAGCAAACAGG